AACGGUUUGGAGCAGGAAAGCAUCAGGAUGAUGCGGCUUCAGGAAGAAGAAAUGGAUGCGCUCAGGAAGAGCGAACAAGGAUUGCGUCAGGACGAUGCUCAGGAUGUUUCAGGAUUGAAACCAAGGACACCUCCAGGACGGAGAUUGAGAGCUGGCAUAGGAUGGCUGGUGGGUCAGGAAGACUUAGGAAUCGCGUCAGGAAGAUGCUACAGGAUAUAGCAAGGAUUGUUUGGUCAGGAUGGCCGAAGGAAAAGUUUUCAGGGAUUGAGCAGGGAGCACACUGUUUAGCUGGAUUGCUAUAAAACGAACCGGGGGCACUGUUAACGCAGUGCCCCCAAUUUUUUCC
rnacentral:other from 1 species